rnacentral:rRNA from 1 species
UACGUAGGGUGCAAGCGUUACUCGGAAUUACUGGGCGUAAAGCGUGCGCAGGCGGUUAUGCAAGACAGAUUUGAAAUCCCCGGGCUCAACCUGGGAACUGCAUUUGUGACUGCAUGGCUAGAGUACGGUAGAGGGGGAUGGAAUUCCGCGUGUAGCAGUGAAAUGCGUAGAUAUGCGGAGGAACACCGAUGGCGAAGGCAAUCCCCUGGACCUGUACUGACGCUCAUGCACGAAAGCGUGGGGAGCAAACAGG